UGAUAGAUAGAUAGAUGAUAGAUAGAUAGAUAGAUAGAAUUACUUUUACAGAUGGCCAAUGAAACACCACUGGAGCAACCUCUGUGGAACAGAGGGCUUUGUGAUGCAGUCUGGUGCCCUAAUUCCAUCCUCUGUGAGGCAGCCAUGACAAUGCCCAAUGCUACAAGUCAUUAGGCACGUAGGCCCCUGAACGACUAAUACAGAGAUGACUGGUCUCCUCGUGCUAAUGAGGUCUAGGCCAUGUUGAGCCUUGCGUGUUUUUCUUGGGACAUCAGUUAUCUUUUAUGUACCUACACCUCCAUCUUCAUCAUUUUCCUAAUUGCCUGGCAAAUAAGACGGAGUUACCAGGGAUUGAGCUUGGAACCUGAAAAGAGCUAUCGGCAUCAACGAAAAGUCAGGCAAAGGGCUAGAGAUG